rnacentral:rRNA from 1 species
GACGAACGCUGGCGGCGUGCUUAACACAUGCAAGUCGAGCGAGAAAGCGGCUUCGGCCGUGAGUACAGCGGCGAACGGGUGAGUAACACGUGGGCAACCUGCCCCAGAGAUUGGGAUAACGUCCCGAAAGGGACGCUAAUACCGAAUAACGCGUGACCUGCCAAGUGGGUCACGCCAAACGGUAGCCUCGGCCUCUGCUCUGGGAUGGGCCCGCGCCGGAUUAGCUUGUUGGUGGGGUAACGGCUCACCAAGGCGACGAUCCGUAGCUGGUCUGAGAGGACGAUCAGCCACACUUGGACUGAGACACGGCCCAGACUCCUACGGGAGGCAGCAGUGGGGAAUCUUGCGCAAUGGGCGAAAGCCUGACGCAGCAACGCCGCGUGAGCGAAGACGGCCUUCGGGUUGUAAAGCUCUGUCAGGAGGGACGAAGCCACUCGGGUGAAUAGCCCAGAGGGUGACGGUACCUCCAGAGGAAGCCCCGGCUAACUACGUGCCAGCCGCCGCCGUAACAC